UGGGGAAUAUUGCGCAAUGGGCGAAAGCCUGACGCAGCGACGCCGCGUGGGGGAUGACGGCCUUCGGGUUGUAAACCUCUUUCGCCAGGGACGAAGCGUGAGUGACGGUACCUGGAUAAGAAGCACCGGCCAACUACGUGCCAGCAGCCGCGGUAACACGUAGGGUGCGAGCGUUGUCCGGAAUUAUUGGGCGUAAAGAGCUCGUAGGCGGUCUGUCGCGUCGGUCGUGAAAACUUGGGGCUUAACCCUGAGCUUGCGGUCGAUACGGGCACGACUGGAGUUCGGCAGGGGAGACUGGAAUUCCUGGUGUAGCGGUGAAAUGCGCAGAUAUCAGGAGGAACACCGGUGGCGAAGGCGGGUCUCUGGGCCGAUACUGACGCUGAGGAGCGAAAGCGUGGGGAGCGAACAGGAUUAGAUACCCUGGUAGUCCACGCCGUAAACGGUGGGCGCUAGGUGUGGGGGCCAUUCCACGGUCUCUGUGCCGCAGCUAACGCAUUAAGCGCCCCGCCUGGGGAGUACGGCCGCAAGGCUAAAACUUAAAGGAAUUGACGGGGUCAUAGCUGUUUCCU
rnacentral:rRNA from 1 species